rnacentral:rRNA from 1 species
UUAGAGUUGAUCCUGGGCCAGAAUGAAUGCUGGCGGCAUGGAUUAGGCAUGCAAGUCGUACGAGAAUCCUCUCUUCGGAGAGGAGGACAGUGGCGAAAGGGUGAGUAACACGUGAGUAUCUACCUCCAGGUCGGGAACAGCCCGCGGAAACGCGGAUUAAUGCCCGAUGGUCCCUUCGGUGUAAAGAGGAAUCGCCCGGAGACGAGCUCGCGGUCCAUCAGCUUGUUGGCGGGGUAACGGCCCACCAAGGCGACGACGGGUAGGUGGUCUGAGAGGAUGGUCACCCACACUGGGACUGAGAUACUGCCCAGACUCCUACGGGAGGCUGCAGUCGAGAAUCAUCCGCAAUGGGCGAAAGCCUGACGGUGCAAUGCCGCGUGGGGGAUGAAGGCCUUCGGGUCGUAAACCCCUGCCAGAGGGGACGAAAAACAUGACGGUACCCUCAGAGGAAGCCACGGCUAACUACGUGCCAGCAGCCGCGGUAAUACGUAGGUGGCGAGCGUUAUUCGGAUUUACUGGGCGUAAAGGGUCCGCAGGGGGUUUGCCGAGUCCGAUGUGAAAGUCCGCAGCUCAACUGCGGAACUGCGUCGGAUACUGGUGAACUUGAGUGCGCGAAGGGCGAGCGGAAUUCCAGGUGUAGCGGUGGAAUGCGUAGAUAUCUGGAAGAAACACGGCGGCGAAAGCGGCUCGCUGGCGCGCCACUGACCCUCAUGGACGAAAGCGUGGGGAGCGAACAGGAUUAGAUACCCUGGUAGUCCACGCUGUAAACGGUGCAGACUCGAUGCGGAGAGCGGUCCCCUCCGAGUCUAAGCCAACGCGUAAAGUCUGCCGCCUGGGGACUAC